AUUGAACGCUGGCGGCAUGCCUUACACAUGCAAGUCGAACGGCAGCACGGGAGCUUGCUCCUGGUGGCGAGUGGCGAACGGGUGAGUAAUACAUCGGAACGUACCCUGAAGUGGGGGAUAACGUAGCGAAAGUUACGCUAAUACCGCAUAUUCUGUGAGCAGGAAAGAGGGGGAUCGCAAGACCUCUUGCUUUAGGAGCGGCCGAUGUCGGAUUAGCUAGUUGGUGAGGUAAAGGCUCACCAAGGCGACGAUCCGUAGCGGGUCUGAGAGGAUGAUCCGCCACACUGGGACUGAGACACGGCCCAGACUCCUACGGGAGGCAGCAGUGGGGAAUUUUGGACAAUGGGCGCAAGCCUGAUCCAGCCAUGCCGCGUGAGUGAAGAAGGCCUCGGGUUG
rnacentral:rRNA from 1 species